GGGAUGAAGGGUGCAAAGGAAUAGUAAAGAAAGCAUGUCUGAGAUCCAGAACAGAAUAAUGGGUAGUAGAGGAAGGUAUUGAGGAUAGGAGAGUAUAUGGGUUUGGCACCAAGGGGUGGAUAGGCAAAACAAUUUGGUUGAUAAGGCGCAGAUUCUGAACUAACUUGUAAGGCUUGUCUGGUUUUAGGAGAGGUAAAAUGGGGGAAUUGUAAGGAGAGUUUAUAGGCUUUAAAAGGCCAUGCUGUAGCAGACGAGUGAUAACAGGCUUUAAUCCUUUCAAAGCAUGCUGUGGGAUGGGAUAUUGGCAUUGAUCGGGGUAAGAGUGAUUAGGUUUUAAUGAGAUGUUAAGGGGUGCAUGAUCGGUCGCCAAGGAAGGAGUAGAGUGUAGCAAGCUCCUGGGGGAGGAGUUUCUGGAGGAACGCCUGGCUGCUGCGGUUCAGGCGUUUAGAAGUUCUUGUGUGCUGGAGAUGUGGCUGGGGUUUGUCUCACAGUGGAGGCAAGGAAUUGCAACUUUUUUUUUAUUAUUGUACACCUUGAAGGUGAGGUUAAUUAAGUCCUCUUGUGGGGUUUGAGGGCCAGAUUCCAAUUUUUGGAGUUUUAUUUAAUGUCGGGAGCAGAUUGGGUAAUAAAAUGUAUAUUGAGAAUAAGAUGGCCUUUUGACCUUUUAGGGUCUAGGGCUGUAAAGGGUCUCAGGGUUGCUGCCGAACGAGCCAUGAACUGGGCUGGGUUUUCUGAGGUCGUAGGUGGAUCUUUCUCAUGGAGAAAAGAGCAGGAGAACAGGGGAUUGAUCUCC
rnacentral:lncRNA from 1 species